ACACCGGCAGCUCGAGUGAUGACCGAUCUUAUUGGGCCUAAAGCGUUCGUAGCCGGCCGGGCAAGUUCGUCGGGAAAUCUACCAGCUCAACUGGUAGGCGUCCGGCGAAAACUGCUCGGCUUGGGACAGGGAGACUCAAGGGGUACGUCCGGGGUAGGAGUGAAAUCCUGUAAUCCUGGACGGACCACCGAUGGCGAAAGCACCUUGAGAGAACUGCUCCGACGGUCAGGAACGAAAGCUGGGGUCCCGAACCGGAUUAGAUACCCGGGUAGUCCCAGCUGUAAACGAUGUUCGCUAGGUGCGACGCAGACUACGAGUCUGUGUUGUGCCGUAGGGAAGCCGAGAAGCGAACCGCCUGGGAAGUACGUCCGCAAGGAUGAA
rnacentral:rRNA from 2 species